UUCUAUAUAUUGAAUAUAGAUUAUAAAUUACUUUUAAUCAAAUAGCUAACAUUUAAAGAUGACAAACCUCUUCAUUCAUAGUUUUUUCUCUUACUUUUUAUAUAAAUCUCAUUACCACAAUUUCUCUGUCAUUUUCGUAAAUCUCCUCACAUUCAUAUCUUUCAUUUCAUUUAUCUUCACCCACAUUCAUCUCAUGCAUCACACUCAUAUUUUUCAUCCACAGAUAUUCAUCUACAUUUUUUUCUUAUCUUCUUCAUACAUAUUUUUUUUUCCUCUUCACUUUCUUUUACACUUUUCUCCUCAUCUCCUUCCUUCAUACUCAUUUCAUCCAUCCACAUUCAUCUCUCUUAUACAUAUUCAUUUCUUUCAUCCAUUACAUUUUUUUUUCUAUUUUUUCAUCUAUAUUUUUUGAAUAUGAAGGUAUGAUAUAAUAUUUUCACUUUUUUAAUUUAUUUUCAUUCAGUGUUAACUAAAUCAAUACUAAUUAAAUAAAUUUUUAAAAUAAAAAUACACCGGUAUUGGCUUAACAUAUGCUAAAUUGCUUUAAUAAAAAUUAAAUUUAAAUAUUCAUGAGUUAAACACAAUACUAUAUUAGUCAUUUUUCUUGUUCACGACGUUUAGUAGAAUGUAUGUAUUGUUCCACAAUUUUUACCAUUGUAAAAUAUAAAAUCAACCUAUUUAUAUUUUCUAGUCCCUUUUGAUAGUUACAUAAAGUAAUUUUCAAAUUUAAACAAGUUACAUGCUAAACUGUCCUUUAAAUGUCCUAAAAAACCUUCCUUCGACUACCAAAUAAAUGUCACGUGUCUUGGAGGAAUUAAUAUCCAUUAUGUCUUCAUAAUUAUAGUUGCUUUAUUCUUCUUUUCUAUUUGCUUUGAUUAUCAUUUAUAGAUCGACCUUAGUCGUAUUAUUUCCUUUCUUCUUUAAUCAAAGUUCCAAUAGAGGGUAAACAGUCAACUCUUAUCUCUUUCGAUGGCCUAAUAAGGGUCAAUAGUCAACUUCUAAUGAGUUACAAGCCUAUUUUAUGUCAUCCUUCACUAACAUCAUCAUUGUAAAAUAUUAUGUGUUGAGAUCUUUUGAUUCUUGCUCUUUUUAUAAGAUUUUUCCUUUGAUCAAUUACAUGAAACACCUUUCUACUAACUCUCGACUACAAAACGACCCAUAAUGUUUUGAAUAAUUUAUACACAUCUCUCUAUGCCCUCAGGAGAUGUCCCCCAAAAUAAUUCUUGUUCAUACCUUGAAUGAAUAAGUACUCUCUUGCCACAUGACCCAUCCUCUUUAGCUUUGUGACCCCUUGCCUUCUUUAUCUCUUCAUGACUUUCCAACAUUCUCUUGGAAUUUCAUGACUAUUUCCAUUCUGGUGAGUGAACAAAGGUUGACAUUAGUAUUUAUAGAACAUCCUAUGUAGUAAUUAACCAGUUGUAACAUGUUUAUAACAUUUGGUUGUCUUUUAACCAACCCCAUAUUUAAUAUUUCUGAUAUUCGUGUUCUCGUACAAUUGUGAAAAUCUACCUUUGUUUUGAUUUUGUUUUGUUGUUAUAUGAGGUGUUUUUUUUUUCUUUCGUAGGCCUUUAAUGACAAGCCCAAUUCACUUUUGAAUUUCCCCACUUUCCUAAACCUUGUUCCUCUUUGUCUCUAAUCGUUUUAUUUGCUUCCUUCCUAAGUCUCUUUCUUCCUUUCGCAUUCUCGUUACACCUUCCUACCAUUCUUUCAACAAACUCUUGCACUUCCCUACCUUUUGUACUAGCUUCCAUGGUUUCCUCAUCUUUAAAGCAUGUUAAUGUGCAACCCAUCUCUUUCUGCUUUGCUUUCGAUGGAAAAAUAGGCACUUGUUUGCUUUAGUUAUGAAUUUGGAGGAGGAGUCAUGAAAAAUUUGUGAGGCACAUGUAAUGGUAAUAUACUUUGUAGGUGAUUUAUCUUAUGCUUUCAGUGGCCCUAUCCAAUCUUCCCCACUACUUCAAUGUCUAAUGGACUUUCCUCAAACAACUUUUGUCACCUUAAUCAAUCAACCUCUCGAGAUUCGUAUAUUGUAGGUCAUCAUUCUUCAUAUUGUAUCAAUCUACCCCUCCUCUUCUGCCAAUCAUAAGUCACAUUAUUUCAAGUAGCUAGAUAAAGUUAGGUCCACUUAUGGGAAUCAUUGGAAGAAGAUCGACAUCUUCGCUUUCAUGUAACUUUCUCAAUGUGACAUUUCUUUCCCCAACUUAGGGAUGCUUGCCUUGGUCAUUCAUCUCUUAAACAAAGACAUUAAUCACUAAUGCAAAAAAUGCAUUUUAUGACUACUAUUAUGACGAUUAUAGUCCA
rnacentral:lncRNA from 1 species